CGGCGGACGGGUGAGUAACACGUGGAUAACCUACCUAUAAGACUGGGAUAACUUCGGGAAACCGGAGCUAAUACCGGAUAAUAUAUUGAACCGCAUGGUUCAAUAGUGAAAGACGGUUUUGCUGUCACUUAUAGAUGGAUCCGCGCCGCAUUAGCUAGUUGGUAAGGUAACGGCUUACCAAGGCAACGAUGCGUAGCCGACCUAAGAGGGUGAUCGGCCACACUGGAACUGAGACACGGUCCAG
rnacentral:rRNA from 1 species